rnacentral:rRNA from 1 species
AUCCAGACUCCUACGGGAGGCAGCAGUGAGGAAUAUUGGUCAAUGGGCGGAAGCCUGAACCAGCCAAGUCGCGUGAGGGAAGACUGCCCUAUGGGUUGUAAACCCCUUUUAUAAGGGAAGAAUAAUGACUACGUGUAGUCAGAUGCCCGUACCUUAUGAAUAAGCAUCGGCUAACUCCGUGCCAGCAGCCGCGGUAAUACGGAGGAUGCGAGCGUUAUCCGGAUUUAUUGGGUUUAAAGGGUGCGUAGGCGGUCCGUUAAGUCAGCGGUAAAAUUGCGGGGCUCAACCCCGUCGAGCCGUUGAAACUGGCAGACUUGAGUUGGCGGGAAGUACGCGGAAUGCGCGGUGUAGCGGUGAAAUGCAUAGAUAUCGCGCAGAACUCCGAUUGCGAAGGCAGCGUACCGGCGCCAGACUGACGCUGAGGCACGAAAGCGUGGGGAUCGAACAGGAUUAGAUACCCGUGUAA